GAGGGGCGGCUUGCAGGCUGAGCACCGCCCCCCCCGGCCCGGGCCAAGUGCGUCCCCGGUUCGCGAGCAGCUCUGACCCUCUCCAGGCCAGCUUGGACCGCAGGGCUGCCCGGCACUGGCUGGAGAUUGUGGCGCCCAGGGCAGGCCCUGACACUGGCCUGGAGAUGCGAGGGAGAAAGCCGGGGAGAAGGGGGCGAGGUAGUCCCGCUCCAGGGCCGGUUCAUUUAUUUGGCAGGGCUCCCCCCAGGUCUCCCAGAUUCCCCAGAGGACCUGCUCUCGGCCUGCACGCCUUCAAGCAUCCGUGUGAGUUGUGCGUGAAUAAAAGAAAUCGUGUAAUUUCUGACUCCAUAGUAUGGACAAACCGAGGCUAGAGAACUGGGCCAGGGCUACACAGUCAUUUGGCCAGAGGAUUAGAAUUCAGCGCUUCUGACCUGAAGACGGCUUCCUCUUAACCUUUUUGGAGGAUCUCUUCUGCUGUGGGCGGACUGAGCCUACCGCCAGGUGUCUUAACACAGUGCUUGACUUGGCCAGCGACCACUUAAGCCUAGGCUAUUUUUAGCCAUCUUCUAGAACGGUGGUUCUUAAACUCUGCUGUGUGUCAGAAUCACCGGAAAGCUAAUAAAAAACAGGCCUGGGCUCAUUGAAGAAGCAUAAGACCAGGGUUUCCGCAUUUUUACCAAGUGAAUCUAAUUAAACCUAAGUUUGAGAACCC